GCCAGGCAGUGAAUAAUUAAAGUAUUUCUAAAAUAAUAAGCAGAAAAACAAACUGUUAAAAUAGUAAAGUUAAAGGUGCAAAUGGAAAAAGAAAAUUACAAAAGUAUAAAAGAAAAAAGCUGGCAUAGUACCCCGUAACACGCACCGCUUUACAAAAUGACAUUAUCUGGACGGCAAUAUCAAUGUAAAUGUUUACACUCUUCAAAAGUGAUAGAACAAAAAGAAUGAACAUAACAGCAACAGAGUAAAAAGCAUGGUUGCACCUGUCAAAGAUGUCCAGAUACCGUUGCAGAGAAUGAAUAGAACGUGAGAAAACUAUAAACAUGACAUCAUCUUAUCUUUGUUCACAAACUGUUUCUUUGGCAAUUAAGAAAGAAGUUUCAAUGACAAGUUAAUGCACUAACUGACGCCUCUGUUCAAUAGAGAUGGACGAUUUCUGGGCAAAUUGCCUGAACCUGCUGAGCUUUCAUCUACAAAUGAUAUCUCGUAUCUCCCAAGGCUUUCUUCAGGAACUCAAAUGAUAUUAUUAAUAUCUUAAACAUAGAAGAUAUAAAAUAUAUUUUUACGAUCUCAUGGCAUUUUUUUAAAACAUGUGAUAGGGAAGACAUCUGCUUUAGGAUUCAUGGCUUAAAUCAGUAAAUGUAGAAAACAAAUUAACAAUGUGCCUUGCUGGCUUUACUUCAAGCCACAAGAAAGACAUUAAUACGUUGAUUAUGGUUAGAAAACUGAAAACAACUGGUCUACUACAACCACCUGUCAACCAACCAACCCCAAAGGCAUACGGGCAAGAGUUUAGAUAAAAUGCUGCUUUUCGCUUUCUAAAGCUCAACGUAAUUACUAUGCAAAAAGUUUCUCUUCUUGGUAGCUUAUUCCGUUCAUAUAUGGAAUAGGCGACAAUCUGAUCAACUCAAUUUCUGCAGUUGUACAUACUGACAAACAUGCACGAUGGACAGAAUCGGCAUAAUCACCUUGGACAUCUACUCUGGCCUAAAUUAAAUUAGGUUCCUCUGUACUCUAGGGAUGAUUUUCCCGUGACCUAAAACUUAAGUAGGGUUCUCAUUUACAUCAAUGCCAAGAAAUUAUUUGCCUUGUCCACAGCUUAACAAGUAAACUGAGUAUUUACAGCAUACUUCCGCGUAAGUGAACCCAAAUAAAAAAAAACAAUUUUAAUAAACAAAACCCCAAAUUAUGACUUGCUAAUUUUACUAUUAGAUAAUAUUUUCCCAAAAAAGAUAAACACAAUCAGCUUAGAUGCUGCUUUCAUUUUCAUGUUGUUUUUUUUUUAACAAUUGAUUGUCAUGUGUAAACAAAAAUACACAUCUCUAGUAUUCCCAAUCUUAAGUAACUUUGUAUUAAUUCUAGAAACUUUGUUAAUAUGUCUUUUUAAACCAAAGAUUUAUUUUCCAUUCUAUUAUUUAAUAUUGUAGAUCACAAAAACUAUAGUAGAUAAAAAGUCAUCACUGACCCGUUUAAUCUAUGCUUCCUUAUGGACAUCAUAAACUCAGGCUGCACUACAAUGGACAUACUAUUAACCAGAAAGAUACCCACCUAGUCUUUGGACAACUGGUGCCCUGAAUGCUGGGCUUGAUGUAAAUACCAACAUUUGAAACUACAGCCCUUGUAUGUCUAGCCAAAAUGAGACUAGUAACAUUUACUGGCUUGCUUGUGAUUUUCAUUUCGGUAUGCUCUAUUUCCUAAUAGAACAUAAACACUAUUUUCCAUGAGAAUAAUUUUACACAAAAUUGAAUUGGGUCAUGGAAUGUAUCGCAUAACCAAAUAAUUAAAUAAGACACAAAUCAAACAAAUCAUACGAAUGGUAACUGCAAUGCAUCUAUACAUGGUGGAUAGUAAAUAUGCACUGCCAUAUGACUGAACAAAUGUGAUAUAUGUUCAUAUGUGCCCAUAAGUUCAGAAUGGGUGACUAUAGUAUAGAAACAUAGGUGUACAAAUAAGGGUAUUUUUGCUAGAUAUAUUUUUAAUAUUGGGUCAGGUUGGCAAGUAUCUGGAAUUGAGGCAUAUGAGGCAUUAAAGGACUGUAAAUAUUCAAAAAGAAAUAAAACUGAAUGUGUAUAUAUAUAUAUAUUAAAAAUGAUGUAAAAUGCAAAUAAUAUAAUACCAAAAUACUGGAUGCCUAACCGCUAAGAAGAACAUGUAGAGUCACCACCAACACUCCACAUUUUGGUGAUAAAUACACAAUAGUUCUGCUGUAAGCCAAACCACUUAAAAGUGAGUCCAGCUAAGAGAACCCUGAUUUCACAAAAUGAGGAUGACAAACCGCAUAUGAGACUGGAAUUUUCUCCCAAAAUACAGCCAAAUUUCUAGUUACCUGUAAAAUCCAUAAGAUCUAAAUGUCGUGCCAAAGGAUGUCUAGAUGAGAGGAGAUGUAUCUUCUUCACAGUCCACAUAUUCCUAUGGACUUUAUUGGUAACUAGAACUUUGGUAUAAACCAAGACUGCAUUCUGAGAGAUGAUUCCAGCUUCCAACAAUGGUUGACAUCCUCACAGCAAAGUCUCCUUUUGUGGACUCAUGUUUACCAUAUUCAGCUUCCCUUAGAAGUAGUUUGGCUCAGAAUUGGACUGUUGCCUAUUUACCCUUGUCAAUUGGCAUUUUGCUGUGGCCCCUACUUGAUCUUUGUAAUGGUUGGACAUCCAGCAUUUUGAUUGUAUACUUAAAUGGACUAUUAAUAGUAUUUUAUGUUACUUUAUUUAGUGAUUGUAAUAACGGACAAAUCCUUUUAAUCUACAUAUUUUAGAGUGCACUCAGUUUCAUUUAGGGAUACUGCGUGAUAACACUAUUUAAUGGUAUGAUACCAGAAGACAAGACUUAAAACAAUUAAUUGAAAUGAUACAUGAAAAAUGGAUUCCCAAAAUAGGUCAUCAGAAAAGAUCUUGCCAGAAUAAAAUGGUGCAUGGUGGUCUUCUGCUUACUGACAGGGAAGAGAAAACCGUUCAAGCUCC